GGCACGUGGCGGCGGCGAUCCUCCGGGCAGGGCGGGCGGCCUGUCUCGCCGAAGCAGGCGCUCCGCCAGGCCCUUUCCCGGGACCUCGGGCCCUUCCAGAGCCCGGACAGUGUCUCCCUUCUCCAGUCUCCCGCAAGCCUCGCCUCUGUUCUGCCAAGUCUGUCCUUCCCGUCUUCACCCCAGCUCCCUCCAGGGCAGCCAGGAGAUGAGGUGGCAGCUGUGGCAACUGAGCAGGGACUGGACUGCGGUCUUUCAGAAUUUACUGGGCCUGGAUCCAGACCUCCAGACUCGCACGGCAGCCCGCAUGAGUAACGGGGGCCUGUGAUCACAGGGACCGGGGGUCAGAGACGGCUCUCCCGGCGCCGGGCCGUGGGGAUCCCUCGGGCAGGGCUCAGGGGUCCCUUCCCCCGACAGAAACCAGGUCCUCGCGACCGGCGGGGAGCCGCCAGCGGAGAGCCAAUCCUGGGCCGCGCCGUGAGAGGGGCGGGACGUCCGCGCCCUCGCCCCGCCCACUUCAGGCAACUGAAAAGCUGUGCGGUGACCUAGGCAACGCAUCGAGCGUCACUGCCACCGGCUAAAUUUGCUGCGUUCCGCCCCUCUUGGCAUCACUAAACGGAAAGCGAAGUCCUUUAAGGGGCAAAAAGGACGGAGGUCCUGAUUGGCUGGUUGGGUGAGUCCAGUCCCAGCAGCGGAGUGUCUGGGGCUGAGAGAAGGGCGGCCUCGCCCGGGUCAGACACGGAGGGCGGGGUGCCCGCUGCUGAGAAGCCGAGCAGAGAAGGGACUUCGGUGGCUGAAAAGUCGGUGUUUCCAGUUCAGGAUAACGGUCCUCCUGGGUGCGGGCGGAGGUAGCGGGACUCCAAGAACCCUGGGUCCCACCACCCGAUGUUGCUAUACUUUCUCCAUCGUAGUGCUGUGGGGGAGGGAACACGGGCAUUUAAUGUUUAAAUUCAACAUUUCUCGGGCGGCUUUUGUGUGCCAGGCCUGGUGCUAAGUGUUGGGGCUCAGUGAACAAAACAAAGAUUGCUGCCUUCUUGGAAGUUUGUAUUCUAACAGGAGGAGAAAAUACAGUACGCAGGCCACGGGGGUGGGAAAGUAGAGCAAGUGAAGAUGGAGCAGUUCGCACCAUUACGUAGGUGGCCGCUUAGACACCAGCGAGAAAGUGCGAUCUGAACGUAGAAUUGAAGGAGGCAAAAUGGCUAGCCAGUGCGCUACCUGGGAGCAGAGCAUUCCAGGCCGAAGGAGCAGCUGACGGGCCUCAUGACGAACAGCAAGGACAAGAGAGUGGCAGAGCAUUGUGUGGGGGAGAGCGGCAGAAUUAGUUUUCCUCCAGCCAGACCAGCUGUGGUCAGGAGUGUGAUGACUAGUAUGAUGAAUGCUGCCUUGGAAAGGUGACCUUGAGGUUUCCUUGGGCUCGGUCACCCUUCUCCCCUUCGGCACCUUCUUACGCUGGUGUGAGGGAUCCUUGCCGGCUUCAGAGCAGCUGGAGUGGGAGAAGCACGCCCCAGGGUCCCAUCCGUUUUCCUCCAGCGGGUCGUCUGGCGAUCCAGUUUUCCUGUCUCGAGUAGAAGUCUGUCUCCUGCUCGGAAGGGAUGCAGCGGGCCUGUGACAGAAAAUCCCUGCACAAGCCAAAGCAUUCAUUACACCCAGGGUUUGAUUCAGAUGCUGCGUGUCAUUCUUAAUUUUAACAUCAUGAUCUACACUUACGUCUCCUGUUCCUAUAGCAGCCUGAAGGGUCACCCAUAUACUAUAUUUUAGGGACUCAAAUCAAUCCCACUUCCGGGAGCUACUCUAGUCCUGGGCAGGGCAAUUGGCAAUACCCAUCCCAACGCAGACGUGUCUUCCCACAUAGUUUGGCAUAUUCUUCUUUAAGGUCUGUUCAUUUUCUCAACCUUCCCGGAGGCCUGUGGUCUCCAGGCUGUAUGUGGCAGUGGGUGCCCUUAGAAUCGGAGUGAGAACCCCAAGUCCGAUUCCUUUCCUCUCAUGCACGUACGGGUGAAACGGUUUCAACAGAUUUGGGGGCCCAAAGCAGGGCCUGUAAGGUCUCAAAGGCGCGUUCACAUUCCUUAUCCCCGUCCAGGGUCUCCUCUGGCCCCUUCAGAGCCUCACACGGGGUCUCGCUAUGAGUCCAAAUGUGGCAGCACCCAGCCGUUCCCCCAAAUCCUCUCUCUGCCUCCUGGUCUUUGGGGGCUGUACCCGAAUGCUAGUGUCCUCUGGUCCCCUGUUCAACUCCGUUGCCAGGCCCCAGGAGAAACCCCAGGAAGUAGGCGGCCUGCUUGUAGAAUCUGAGCUUUGGGGGCCGAGACCUUAUAGCCACAGCUUGCUAGGUGCUUGGGGAGUCCAUAAUGUUUGUCAGACAGUGCUCACAGGUGGGCCCUGUGACCAGGAGGUCAUCCACAUAUUGUAGCGAGACUCCCUUCUGAAACUGCAGCUUUUCCGGUCCUUGCUUAGCGUCUCCCCGAAAAUGGUGGGGGAGCUCUUGAACCCCUGGGGAAGGACUGUCCAA